rnacentral:rRNA from 1 species
GAUGAACGCUGGCGGCGUGCCUAAUACAUGCAAGUCGAGCGAACAGACGAGGAGCUUGCUCCUCUGACGUUAGCGGCGGACGGGUGAGUAACACGUGGAUAACCUACCUAUAAGACUGGGAUAACUUCGGGAAACCGGAGCUAAUACCGGAUAAUAUAUUGAACCGCAUGGUUCAAUAGUGAAAGACGGUUUUGCUGUCACUUAUAGAUGGAUCCGCGCCGCAUUAGCUAGUUGGUAAGGUAACGGCGUACCAAGGCAACGAUGCGUAGCCGACCUGAGAGGGUGAUCGGCCACACUGGAACUGAGACACGGUCCAGACUCCUACGGGAGGCAGCAGUAGGGAAUCUUCCGGAAUGGGCGAAAGCCUGACGGAGCAACGCCGCGUGAGUGAUGAAGGUCUUCGGAUCGUAAAACUCUGUUAUUAGGGAAGAACAAAUGUGUAAGUAACUAUGCACGUCUUGACGGUACCUAAUCAGAAAGCCACGGCUAACUACGUG